GGGCACGCCUUUAGCCGAUGCCCACGGACGGAGUCACUGCCUCCCGACAGCCCGUCAAGCCUGUGCAGCUGAUCCCCCAGCCAUCCUCGGCUGCUCUUUGCUUCCAGCAGUGCAGUAUUUGCACAUUGUUCGACAGUGGAAGAUUAUAGAUAUUAAAGGCAAGGCUGUCAUUCCCUCCAGGGACGGAGGGCAGGGGAGUACAGUGGCUGCUUGGUCUCUAGCUCGUUCUGCCUCCCUUCCUUCCAAACCAGAGGCUGAUAAAGGCAGGAGGCACAGAGGUGUCAUUCCUCUUGCUGCUCCGUGGCACUGACUACAAUGAUUGCAUCUACCAGUCAUUGAUUCUGCUGGUUCUUCCUAAACCACUGAGCUAAAGCCCAAGAGUUUGUAAUAGAGGGGCUGGAGGAAAGAAGGCAACGAGAGGUCAAGAUCAUUGCCAGAAAGAUGAGCUCAUAGCCGUGGGGACUUAUAAGAAAGAUGGGGACAGACUUUCUACUACAGCAUGUAUCAAUAGGACAAGGUGUAAGGUUUUAAACUAAAAGAGGGCAGAUGUAGACUAGAUGUAAGGAAGAGAUUUUUUUACAAAGAGGGUGGUGAAACACUGGCACAGGCUGCCCAGGGAGGUGGUAGAUGCCCCAUCCCUAGAAACAUUUAAGGUUAGAGUGACAGGGCUCUGAGAGACUGGGUGUAGUGGAAUAGCCGGGGUUGAACUAGAUGAACUUCAUAGGUUCCUUCCCACACAAACUGUGACUGAGAAAGAUGUUCUGUCAGAAGAGUAGAUAAUCUGGGAGCGUGGGGGUGUGGUGUCACAUGCAGAGCCCUGGGUCCAGAGCCAGGUCAGUCACAAAGUUGUUUUGGAUCUAAGGCAGGUCUUGGAGAAAGGAGAAAUUAUGAGGCUGGGUUGCUGAGGAGGAGAUGUUGGAGCUGAAUAUGGGAUUAAAUAGCCCCAAACAAAAUGUCCCGAGGGAACAGGCUCUGCAAGAAUCAGAGACAAAAAUUCUUCUCAACAAGAAGUGAGCAAAUUCCUCCUACUCCCCCAUUCCUGCUGGCUGUCUCUGAGGGAGUGGAGCCUCCUGGAAAGUUUCCUGGCUGCCCCCAUGGAAACAGUUCAUUCCAGGACAGUUCCCCAGAUUCCCUUGGAAGCAAUGCUGGCUCCAUAAACCAGCUGUCAAAACGAGCCAAAUGCCUUGUGUUUUGAAGCAGACCAUUGCUGGAGCCAGGAAAGUGUUUGAGCAGCAGUGAUCUCAAAUGCUGCUGUGGUUUAGUAGUGACACUGAAGGACUCUGAGGCUAUUCAGUGAUAUUUCCUUGCUCCUAAAGGACUGGUGAGAAUUAAACAGAAUAUUUCCCAAAAGCUAAAGGCCUAAUAAGCACAUGACUCCUCAGAAAAAUUAAUUAAAAUUGGCAAACUUCUUUUUAUGAUGGCCUGGUGCCUUUUAAGACCAUUGCCCGGCAGGGCCAGUGGACAGUAUCUUGGCUGAUCUUCAAGAGCAAGGGUGGAAGUAUGUAGUAGAAGUGCCGAAUGUGGCAUGUGGAUCAAUUUUGCAUGGCACUCAGCCAGACCAGCAAGGAGCCAGAAUCCUUCACAUCAAAAGCACAGUGUUGAGGGAGCCAGCAGUGCUGGCUCCUGCUUCUCUCAAAUCCUGUGGGAGCCCAGGAGCUCUUCUAGACAAUGAUGCUGGAGUUACAUGGUAGAUGGCCUCUUCUGACUCCUGCUGUGCUGGCACUCUCAGCCUCUGCUUUGGGAAAGAAAAGGAUGUAUGCUAUGGAUGCCCGCUG
ensembl:lncRNA